AGCGAACGCUGGCGGCAUGCUUUACACAUGCAAGUCGAACGGUAACAGGCCGCAAGGUGCUGACGAGUGGCGAACGGGUGAGUAAUGCAUCGGAACGUGCCCAGUCGUGGGGGAUAACGCAGCGAAAGCUGCGCUAAUACCGCAUACGAUCUAUGGACGAAAGCGGGGGACCGUAAGGGCUCGCGCGAUUGGAGCGGCCGAUGUCAGAUUAGGUAGUUGGUGGGGUAAAGGCUCACCAAGCCAACGAUCUGUAGCUGGUCUGAGAGGACGACCAGCCACACUGGGACUGAGACACGGCCCAGACCCCUACGGGAGGCAGCAGUGGGGAAUUUUGGACAAUGGGGGCAACCCUGAUCCAGCAAUGCCGCGUGCAGGAAGAAGGCCUUCGGGUUGUAAACUGCUUUUGUACGGAACGAAACGGUCUAGGUUAAUACCCUGGGCUAAUGACGGUACCGUAAGAAUAAGCACCGGCUAACUACGUGCCAGCCGCCGCGGUAAAAC
rnacentral:rRNA from 1 species